UACGGGGGGGGUAAGCGUUGUUCGGAAUUACUGGGCGUAAAGGGCUCGUAGGCGGCCAACUAAGUCGGACGUGAAAUCCCUCAGCUUAACUGGGGAACUGCGUCCGAUACUGGAUGGCUUGGAUUUGGGAGAGGGAUGCGGAAUUCCAGGUGUAGCGGUGAAAUGCGCAGAUAUCAGGAGGAACACCGGUGGCGAAGGCGGAUCUCUGGGCCUUACCUGACGCUCAGGCGCGAAAGCUAGGGGAGCGAACUGG
rnacentral:rRNA from 1 species